rnacentral:lncRNA from 1 species
CUAAAUGCCUGCAAUAAACAAGUUUCUUCAUUAGCGUGUACAAAUUGUGUUAUCAACGAAAAAGUGUAGUCUAAUCGAGUCAUUAGUUAAACUAGAUUUACUUGAUUUUGAUAUUAUUUUUCAGUUAAUUGAUAGGAGCUUGAAUAACUUUCAUUGAUUGGUUUUUCAGCUUUCCUCGAUUAGUGGUAUUUAUCUCUUUUUUGAUUUUGUAAAAAUCAUGUCUUGAAAAUAAUAGAAAGAUACAUUAUGAAUUAAAGAGGCAUCACAUGUUUUGAUAUUUCUUUGAAAAGGAAAAGUGGUGUCUAUGACAUAUUAAAUGCAUAAAAUUGAAUCAAGCAUUUAUUACCUAUGAGUGGUACUUAAUAUAUGUAAGCAACUAAAAUGGCAUAUGUUAUGUGGUAAGAUCUGUGGAUUAGAAAACGACACCAGAAGGAAAAAAGUUUAAAUUUUUACAAUUAAUGGGACUAGUAGAUCCAUAAGUAUCUUAUUUAGACUUUAAACAUUUUAUAGCGAUGGAAACAACUUUUAGAUAUAUUAUUUAUACUGUUCAAUGAACUCAUAUUUGAUAAAUAAAUAAUAUUAAAGUCAUAUUUGUCUAGAUAAUGAUAGCAAAAAUCAAUAUUAUAUUGGACUCAUAUUUGACAAAUAAAUAAUAUUAAAGGAUCAGUAAAAAAAGAUAUCCAAAACCACAAAUAUAUAUAUAGAAAAUGCUUUAGUAAAGAAUUAAUAUAAUAAUAUUACCCAUCAUAGAAGUACAAAAACGAGCAUAUACUUAGAGGUAUAUAUUAUACAACUGCGUAUAUUUCAACGAUAAGUAUAAUGAAAUGUAUAAUAAAUGUCGACUAUUAUGAUUGAAAAGGUAUAUGGAUACCAACUGAGAUUAAAAAUUAUCUAUCAUCGCCAAAAAUUAUUUAACAUGCACUAUAAAUAGGUAAAUAUAACAGAACAGUCCAUCAUAGAAGGAAAAAUAAUAUAUGUCUAGAGGGUUCUAUUAUUUGACUACAUAUAUUUAGAUAACAAUAUAAUGAAACGUACAAAACCAUGAGCCAUGUAGGAUGACACUUAACGACUUAAGUGAGAGCAGACAUAAUUUGUAAUGUGCGUCUUUUUUGUCCUACAAGUGAAAGGUGGGAUAAUUACCAAAAAAAAUUCCUAAACCUAUUAUAAUUGUACCAAUUCAAUUAUAAACAUUUUUUUGCCGAUUCACUCAUAAAUCUUUUACAAUUGUACAAAUUCAAUCCAUUCAACUAUAUUUUGCUUGUUGGCACUAAC